rnacentral:snoRNA from 1 species
GCAAUGAUGACUCUUGAUGACUGCAUGUGUUAGAGUGCUGAUAUGUGUAAUGCCAACUGGAGUCUGAGU